GGAACAGGGGAAACGAGCACUGACAGGACAUCAGGAUCACAACAGGACAGGAGCCCAGAUCUCUCACACCCUACCUAAGGAAGCCUUGCCCACAUGGACUGCAAGUUCCUUUGAUUCACUGAAACCACAAGGGAGGCAAGCAGCAG